GGCUCUGUGGCGCAAUGGAUAGCGCAUUGGACUUCUAGCGUAGUGAAGUGAUUCAAAGGUUGUGGGUUCGAGUCCCACCAGAGUCA
rnacentral:tRNA from 1 species